AGACUGAAACUAAGCAAGGAGAGCUUGAGCCCACCAAUUGAUGCCACACGGUACAGGAGUGUGGUUGGAAGUCUGAGGUACCUAAUUCACACUCAACCAGACAUUUGCUAUUCUGUUGGAUAUGUGAGCAGGUUCAUGGAGAAAUCAACUUUAGAGCAUCUGGCUGAAGUUAAACAUAUUCUGAGGUAUGUGAAGGGAACACUGAACCAUGGGUGUUUUUACAAGAAAGGAACAGAUGAGAGACUACAGUUGGCUGGGCAUACUGACUUUUGAAGGGAUAUUGAUGACAGAAAGAGCACUAUAGGGGUGAUUUUCUAUCUUGGUAAUAGUCCUAUUACCUAGGUGUCUCGAAAACAGAAGACUGUUGCUUUAUCUUCAUGUGAAGCGGAGUUUAUUGCUGCAAGUGCAGCUGCAUGCCAAAGUGUUUGGCUUGGGAGGCUUCUAGCAUAAUUUUUCAACAAGGAGCCAGACAAGGUGGUGCUCAAGAUUGAUAAUCAAUCUGCCAUAUCAUUAUGCAAAAAUUUGGUGUUCCACGAGAGAAGUAAACACAUUGACACACGAUAUUGUUUUGUGAGAGAAUGUGUUGAUGAAGGGAAAUUUGCAGUGGAGCAUGUUAGAACAGAGGAUCGGCUUGCCGACAUUUUAACCUAGCCAUUGCCAAGGCUUAGGUUUCAGGAAAUGAAGGAGAAGAUUGGGUUACAAAGUGUCAAGCUAGCGCACCAAGCUUAA
rnacentral:rRNA from 1 species